rnacentral:tRNA from 2 species
GCCGGCUUAGCUCAGUUGGUAGAGCAUCUGAUUUGUAAUCAGAGGGUCGGGGGUUCGAGUCCCUCAGCCGGCACCA